CCAGGUUCCCGGAAACGCCACGGCCGUUCCCCGCCCCGCGGCGCCGGGGUCAGGGUUGUUCAGAGGUCAGACAAGGUGCUAUGUAUGGCAAGUGGUGGUGACCUCGCAAAUACACAACCAGGAUCAAGACCCAGAUGUGACGGGGAAAAAAAAGAUAAAAAUCAUCAAAACAGAAAUUAAUUCACUGGCUUUAAAUUAGCACGCUUUUCAAAAAAAUAAAGUUUCAAAACACUUCCCAUA